rnacentral:tRNA from 1 species
AAGAAAGUCAUAGAGGUUAUGGGGCUGGCUUGAAACUAGCCUUAGGGGGUUCAAUUCCUUCCUUUCUUG